rnacentral:rRNA from 1 species
GUUCGAAGGCGAUCAGAUACCGCCCUAGUUCUAACCAUAAACGAUGCCAGCUAGCGAUCCGCCGAAGUUCCUCCGAUGACUCGGCGGGCAGCUUCCGGGAAACCAAAGCUUUUGGGUUCCGGGGGAAGUAUGGUUGCAAAGCUGAAACUUAAAGGAAUUGACGGAAGGGCACCACCAGGAGUGGAGCCUGCGGCUUAAUUUGACUCAACACGGGAAACCUCACCAGGCCCGGACACCGGAAGGAUUGACAGAUUGAGAGCUCUUUCUUGAUUCGGUGGGUGGUGGUGCAUGGCCGUUCUUAGUUGGUGGAGCGAUUUGUCUGGUUAAUUCCGAUAACGAACGAGACUCUAGCCUGCUAAAUAGACGUAACUUACUGGCAUCUCAAGGCCCACCGGCUGUAUGUUUUUCCGUUACGUGUUGCGUGGUUUAUCGUUUUGCACGUGUUGCAUGUGUGUGUGCAUUGCGCAUGCGUUUGUUUGCCACCUGUGCGUGAUGUUGUGGCGUUCGCGUUGCAGCUGAGCGUGCUGGGGGCGCUUAUGUAUGUGUGUGUGUAUGCGCGUGUUGGCGCGUGUGAUCGUGCUGCGUAGUGCGUGCGGGCUGCAGUUUUUGGUGUGGUUUUUACUGCCGGCGUACAAAUAAUUCUUCUUAGAGGGACAGGCGGCAUCUAGCCGCACGAGAUUGGGCAAUAACAGGUCUGUGAUGCCCUUAGAUGUUCUGGGCCGCACGCGCGCUACACUGAAGGAAUCAGCGUGUCCUCCCUGGCCGAAAGGUCCGGGUAACCCGCUGAACCUCCUUCGUGCUUAGGGAUUGGG